rnacentral:lncRNA from 1 species
CUUGGCUAUGUCCUUCCUAUGUUUUUUUAUUCUUGUACUUAAAGACCUUGCUGUGUAGCCGAUAUAUUUAAUGUUCUCAUGCAAAUCGUUAUCUACUGCUGGUAUCUCGUAAACCCCUGGCAAACUGUUACGGUCAUAAUCGGACGUAAUUUGCGUUGCGUUGGUAUAUCCUGUAGUGUGUUUACGUUGUAUUUUGUUUUGGGGGAUUGGUUUGGUUCAGAUAAUGUUUUUGUUUGCUUAUUUCAAUAUAUUGAUUGUAAUAGAUUUGUUGUUUUGAUUGUUGUCAUGGUUACUACGAAUUUUGAGGGUUGUUGUUUGG